rnacentral:rRNA from 1 species
GCAAGUCGAGCGAUUCACUUCGGUGCGGAGAGGCGGACGGGUUAGUAACGCGUGGGAACGUACCCUUCUCUAAGGAAUAGCCACUGGAAACGGUGAGUAAUACCUUAUACGCCCUUCGGGGGAAAGAUUUAUCGGAGAAGGAUCGGCCCGCGUUAGAUUAGAUAGUUGGUGGGGUAAUGGCCUACCAAGUCUACGAUCUAUAGCUGGUUUUAGAGGAUGAUC